rnacentral:rRNA from 1 species
AGCGAACGCUGGCGGCAGGCCUAACACAUGCAAGUCGAACGAACCCUUCGGGGUUAGUGGCGGACGGGGGAGUAACACGUGGGAACGUGCCUUUAGGUUCGGAAUAACCCAGGGAAACUUGAGCUAAUACCGAAUGUGCCCUUAGGGGGAAAGAUUUAUCGCCUUUAGAGCGGCCCGCGUCUGAUUAGCUAGUUGGUGAGGUAAUGGCUCACCAAGGCUACGAGCAGUAGCUGGGCUGAGAGGAUGACCAGCCACAUUGGGACUGGGACACGGCCCAAACUCCUACGGGAGGCAGCAGUGGGGAAUCUUGCGCAAUGGGCGAAAGCCUGACGCAGCCAUGCCGCGUGAAUGAGGAAGGUCUUAGGAUUGUAAAAUCCUUUCACCGGUGAAGAUAAUGACUGUAGCCGGAGAAGAAGCCCCGGCUAACUUCGUGCCAGCCGCCGCGGUAAGAC